UAAAUAGGAUUCCCUCAGUAAUGGCGAAUGAACAGGGAUAAGCUCAGCAUGGAAAUUGGGGCCUCUGGCCUUGAAUUGUAGUCUUGAGAUGGCAUUGCCAGUGGAGGCGCAGAUGUAAGCCUCUUGGAAAAGAGCAUCAAUGAGGGUGAGAGUCCCGUUUGUCAUCUGCAGUCCCCCAUAAACGGUGUGCUUUCUAAGAGUCACGUUCCUUGGGAUUGGAGCGCAAAUUGGGUGGUAAAUUUCAUCUAAAGCUAAAUAUUGGUUCGAGACCGAUAGCAAACAAGUACCAUGAGGGAAAGGUGAAAAGGACUUUGAAAAGAGAGUUAAAAGUGCCUGAAAUUGCUGAAAGGGAAGCGAAUGGAACCAGUCUUCUGGGCGAGAUUGUUGCGCGCUACUGUGAUUGCCUGCUGCUUCAACGCAAGUGUCGCAGUGGGUUUUGAGCAUGACGUGCGCUUUGUUUCUUGCCUCGUGUGUCAACGUCGGUUCGGACUUGAGGAAAACUCCAGGGACAUGGUAAAUCGCUCGUGGGUGAUUGAAUGUGCUUGGCAGAACUCAUUUCUUAACUGAUUUCUGCAUGUCUGGUCGCAGUGCCUCGUUGCCUGCGCUCGCUGCCUCGGGUCUGGAGCUUCAGCUCUUCCUCGUUGCUUUGAGCCUGGUCGUGUGGCAUCUCCCUGACAUAAGUACGAUGACAAAAUGGUUUCAUUCGACCCGUCUUGAAACACGGACCAAGGAGUCUAACAUAUGUGCAAGUUCACGGGUGUUAAACCUGAUUGCGCAAUGAAAGUGACUGCUGGGAUAUUUGCACCAGCAACCGACCAAUCAAUUGUGAGAGGUUUGAGUAUGAGCAUAUCUGUUAGGACCCGAAAGAUGGUGAACUAUGCCUGAGAAGGGUGAAGUCAGGGG
rnacentral:rRNA from 1 species